rnacentral:rRNA from 1 species
GUUUUUCGCUCUAAGAUGAGUCCGCGUAAGAUUAGCUAGUUGGUGAGGUAAUGGCUCACCAAGGCGACGAUCUUUAACUGGUCUGAGAGGAUGAUCAGUCACACUGGAACUGAGACACGGUCCAGACUCCUACGGGAGGCAGCAGUAGGGAAUAUUGCACAAUGGAGGAAACUCUGAUGCAGCGACGCCGCGUGAGUGAUGAAGGCCUUCGGGUCGUAAAGCUCUGUCGUAUGGGACUAACACAAUG